CACGCCGCGUGAGUGAUGAAGGCUUUCGGGUCGUAAAACUCUGUUGUUAGGGAAGAACAAGUGCUAGUUGAAUAAGCUGGCACCUUGACGGUACCUAACCAGAAAGCCACGGCUAACUACGUGCCAGCAGCCGCGGUAAUACGUAGGUGGCAAGCGUUAUCCGGAAUUAUUGGGCGUAAAGCGCGCGCAGGUGGUUUCUUAAGUCUGAUGUGAAAGCCCACGGCUCAACCGUGGAGGGUCAUUGGAAACUGGGAGACUUGAGUGCAGAAGAGGAAAGUGGAAUUCCAUGUGUAGCGGUGAAAUGCGUAGAGAUAUGGAGGAACACCAGUGGCGAAGGCGACUUUCUGGUCUGUAACUGACACUGAGGCGCGAAAGCGUGGGGAGCAAACAGGAUUAGAUACCCUGGUAGUCCACGCCGUAAACGAUGAGUGCUAAGUGUUAGAGGGUUUCCGCCCUUUAGUGCUGAAGUUAACGCAUUAAGCACUCG
rnacentral:rRNA from 1 species